rnacentral:tRNA from 1 species
AGCCCCGUGGUGGAGUACACAUUGGAUUGCAAAUCCAAAGACGCAGAUUAGACCCUGCCGGGGCUU